UGAAGGGAAAGCUGUAGACCCUUGCUGCAUGGAGCAUUUGGUUUUAGAGUGUGGACCACCUGAUGGACACUGAGCCAUAGGAGUCAACUCGCACCAGUCUGGGAGAUCCAAAUUGCCUUCUCCCCACGUGUGCUCUGCUCCUGGUCUAGGUAGAGACAAGCUGACACUGUGUCUUUCUGGCUGCAGUAGGGAGGAUACUCCACCGCUGAGAGAGGGACCCUAUAGGCAUGCAGGAUCUACAUCCUUGGAGAUCUCGUCAGCUCAACACCACAAGACUCCAAUCGACUGGAUUGAGUUGUCCCUGCUCUUUUAAAUAAAAAGGAAACCAGAAUGAUGAAACUCUGCUGCAUGGAGGGCAUCUUUGUCACACACGUGGAAGGUCAACACAGUGGGGAGAUAAAGGGAUAUAUGCUGAAGGAACUGUGUAGAUGACAGUGACAGACAAGAAACCAGCAUCCAGUGAUUGAACUGAGCAUGAAAAGGCAACACAGGAGGUUUUGUCAAAGAGCAGAACACCGUGCAGAAAAGGGACUGCUCCUGCCUGCACAAGAACAGCCAGACCUUAG
ensembl:lncRNA